ensembl:ncRNA asRNA:CR44907 antisense RNA:CR44907
AUCACAGUGCUUACCGAUCGUUUUUCACGAACUUGGGAUAGUAUCGCUUCGGAUAGAAGAGCGAAAAGGCCGCCAUGAAGACCCAGAGUAUGGCCAGUUCGUCCAGCAGCUGGCCAAUCAGACUCAAAGUGGCAUGGAAGUACAUCGAACUCAGGCCAACCACGAUGAGCAGCACCCAGAUGACGUGGAUUCCGGGCGUCACAAAGCGUCCGUACUCCUUGAAGAGCAUUAUAAGGACGGGCGGCAGUAGGAUGAACAGGAAGUUGCUAAACUGUUGAGGCAAAAAGAAGUAGAACGACUUUUUAAUAUUUAUCAUUCCUUCAAUGUAAAUGGGUUGAUUAUAUAUCAAUAAAAAUUAAAAAGGGGGGAACGCCAUGAUCAAGUAUCGCGACUAUUACAUACCCUCUACUUUGCUCUUGUAGCAAGCAGAUAAUAUACAUUAAACUAUAAGAUAACUUUAAAGAGGCUUAAAAUAUAAAACCAAUCUUGGCACGUAGAUUUGUAUUGAUUAGCUAAAGUAUCAUUC